rnacentral:rRNA from 1 species
AAGGCGCGCGAUACAGGGUGACAGCCCCGUACACAAAAGCGCAUGUGCUGUGAGCUCGAUGAGUAGGGCGGGACACGUGGUAUCCUGUCUGAAUAUGGGGGGACCAUCCUCCAAGGCUAAAUACUCCUGACUGACCGAUAGUGAACCAGUACCGUGAGGGAAAGGCGAAAAGAACCCCGGCGAGGGGAGUGAAAAAGAACCUGAAACCGUGUACGUACAAGCAGUGGGAGCACCCUUUGGGUGUGACUGCGUACCUUUUGUAUAAUGGGUCAGCGACUUAUAUUCUGUAGCAAGGUUAACCGAAUAGGGGAGCCGGAGGGAAACCGAGUCUUAACCGGGCGUUAAGUUGCAGGGUAUAGACCCGAAACCCGGUGAUCUAGCCAUGGGCAGGUUGAAGGUUGGGUAACACUAACUGGAGGACCGAACCGACUAAUGUUGAAAAAUUAGCGGAUGACCUGUGGCUGGGGGUGAAAGGCCAAUCAAACCGGGAGAUAGCUGGUUCUCCCCGAAAGCUAUUUAGGUAGCGCCUCGUGAAUUCAUCUCCGGGGGUAGAGCACUGUUUCGGCUAGGGGGCCAUCCCGGCUUACCAACCCGAUGCAAACUGCGAAUACCGGAGAAUGUUAUCACGGGAGACACACGGCGGGUGCUAACGUCCGUCGUGAAGAGGGAAACAACCCAGACCGCCAGCUAAGGUCCCAAAGUCAUGGUUAAGUGGGAAACGAUGUGGGAAGGCCCAGACAGCCAGGAUGUUGGCUUAGAAGCAGCCAUCAUUUAAAGAAAGCGUAAUAGCUCACUGGUCGAGUCGGCCUGCGCGGAAGAUGUAACGGGGCUAAACCAUGCACCGAAGCUGCGGCAGCGACACUGUGUGUUGUUGGGUAGGGGAGCGUUCUGUAAGCCUGUGAAGGUGUGUCGUGAGGCAUGCUGGAGGUAUCAGAAGUGCGAAUGCUGACAUAAGUAACGAUAAAGCGGGUGAAAAGCCCGCUCGCCGGAAGACCAAGGGUUCCUGUCCAACGUUAAUCGGGGCAGGGUGAGUCGACCCCUAAGGCGAGGCCGAAAGGCGUAGUCGAUGGGAAACGGGUUAAUAUUCCCGUACUUGGUGUUACUGCGAAGGGGGGACGGAGAAGGCUAUGUUGGCCGGGCGACGGUUGUCCCGGUU